CAGGGAAUCUUCCGCAAUGGACGCAAGUCUGAUGGAGCAACGCCGCGUGAGUGAAGAAGGAUUUUGGAUCGUUAAGCUCCGUUGUUAAGGAAGAACGAGUGUGAGAAUGGAAAGUUCAUACUGUGAUGGUACUUAACUAGAAACGGACGGCUAACUACGUGCCAGCCGCCGCGGUAAUACGUAGGUCCCGAGCGUUGUCCGGAUUUAUUGGGCGUAAAGCGAGCGCAGGCGGUUAGAUAAGUCUGGAGUUAAAGGCAGUGGCUCAACCAUUGGAGGCUUUUGAAACUGUUUAACUUGAGUGCAGAAGGGGAGUGUAGAAUUCCAUGUGUGGCGAUGGAAUGCGUUGUUAUAUAGAAGAACACCAGUGGCGAAAGCGGCUCUCUGGUCUGUAACUGACGCUAAAGCUCGAAAACGUGGGGAGCGAACAGG
rnacentral:rRNA from 1 species